UACGUAGGGCGCAAGCGUUGUCCGGAAUUAUUGGGCGUAAAGAGCUCGUAGGCGGUCUGUCGCGUCUGCCGUGAAAACCCGAGGCUUAACCUCGGGCUGGCGGUGGAUACGGGCAGACUAGAGGUAGGUAGGGGAGAAUGGAAUUCCCGGUGUAGCGGUGAAAUGCGCAGAUAUCAGGAGGAACACCGGUGGCGAAGGCGGGUCUCUGGGCCGAUACUGACGCUGAGGAGCGAAAGCGUGGGGAGCAAACAGG
rnacentral:rRNA from 1 species